rnacentral:rRNA from 1 species
UAAGGAAUAUUGGUCAAUGGACGCAAGUCUGAACCAGCUAUGCCGCGUGCGGGAUGAAGGCCUUCGGGUUGUAAACCGCUUUCAGCAGGGAAGAAGCGAAAGUGACGGUACCUGCAAAAGAAGCACCGGCUAACUAUGUGCCAGCAGCCGCGGUAAUACAUAGGGUGCAAGCGUUGUCCGGAAUUAUUGGGCGUAAAGAGUUCGUAGGUGGUUCGUUACGUCGGAUGUGAAAAUCUGGGGCUUAACCCCAGACCUGCAUUCGAUACGGGCGAGCUAGAGUUUGGUAGGGGAGACUGGAAUUCCUGGUGUAGCGGUGGAAUGCGCAGGUAUCAGGAGGAACAUCAAUGGCGAAGGCAGGUCUCUGGGCCAAUACUGACACUGAGGAACGAAAGCGUGGGGAGCGAACAGG